rnacentral:lncRNA from 1 species
AAGCUACUCGACGCCCUUCUGUACCAUAUAUGAACCAUUUUUCUUUUUUUCAGCUGCUUAAUUUCUCCUUUCUUACGUUUUGAGAACCUGUGAUCUUUGUUUUACUGUUCCCACGCUGCUCAUCCUGUUUAUCUCAACUUAUUUUCCACCUUAUUUUGGAACAGCGAGGCCUUCUACUGUCCACUUAUCUACGUAGCAUUUCUCCUUGUUAUGACUACACAACCACCUUGGAAUACAGAAAAUUAGUUCUCUGCUGCAAAAACACAACUUAGUUUCUCACACGAGAGGGCAGCAGUUGGUCCUGCUGUGGCUUGGCUGGUGGGCUCCUGGCUGGGUCUGCAAGUCAGCAGCCCCAUCAGCCUCUGCCCAGCCUCAGGACACCCCUUUGCCUUCCCAGGAGGAGGAAAGCCUUGCCCAGGAAAGCCGAGGAGGACCAUUACACAGAGCUCCAGCCCUAUGAAAACUCGGACCACUACUGUGUGAUCAAGGAGAGGUUUCUGGCCGAAGAAGAAGCAGGUAGAGGUGGCCGGGCUGGAGAGCGACCAUCCCUGUCCCUGCCCCUGCCCCUGCCCAUCCUGGAGUCCUCAGGAAUCAGACAAAGCAGUGAGGGAGAGGAGAAGAUGGGGUGAAUGUCCCCGGAUCCGUGCUGGUGGCACUUUCAUUGUCUCUUGGUCCUCCACAGCUGGAAGCAGGGCCUCACAGCUUGUGCUGUGCUACUGUCCCCCACCCCCCAUAUUUCAUCCCUCAUUAAGCUCCUGCACACUUUGUAACACACCAGGAGCAGCCCAAGGCAUGGGAUGAAACGCUUGCACCCACAAAAUUGUGUCCUCCAGUAUUUUGGCUCAGCUAUUCCAUCCUGACCUGGUGCUUGCAAGUGUCAUUUGAGACCAAAGCACCCCACUGGGUUCCCAGCCCCUCUUUGCUUUGCAGCCCCAUCCCCAUCUAACUCCAGGACUCUGCCUGAGCUUUGCCCAAGCUUGCUGCCCUCUCAACUGCUCUGUUGUAUCCAAACAACCAAUAAAGUAGUGUGGUCUGCAGGGGGCUGCCUGCCCCACUACGGCAUCCACCUGGCCAUGAGUCCUCCCUUUUGUGUGUGUGAAAGCUGUGUCUGUGUGAAUCUUCACAAAGAAGACUGGCCCAGGCUUUUGCAGGGACGAUCGCCGCCGUCUUCUCCAGCUCUGUGGGUAGGCUGAGAUGUCUGUAUGUCCUCCUCCUGUCCUU